CCCUUAGAUGUUCUGGGCCGCACGCGUGCUACACUGAUGCAUUCAACGAGUCUAAAACCUGGUCUGAUAGGGCUGGGUAAUCUUUUGAAAGUGCAUCGUGAUUGGGAUAGAUGAUUGCAAUUCUUCAUCUUCAACGAGGAAUGCCUAGUAAACGCAAGUCAUCAGCUUGCAUUGAUUACGUCCCUGCCCUUUGUACACACCGCCCGACGCUCCUACCGAUUGAAUGAUCCGAUGAAUACCAUGGAUUGAGAGUACGAAUAGGUUCGCUUAUUUCUGCUGCUCGAGAAGUGGAGUAAAUCUUAUCAUUUAGAGGAAGGAGAAGUCGUAACA
rnacentral:rRNA from 1 species